rnacentral:lncRNA from 1 species
GACCACCAGCAGUUGCCUGUUAACCUUCAGAAAGUCGCCUUGCUUUAGAGAGCUCACCAUGGCCUGGACUCUGUUUUUCCUGGUUCUUCUCAGUUACUGUUUAGGUAAAUACAAAAAGAAGUAGACUUAAGCUGGCCUAAAUGGGGGGGGGGCAUAUCUGUAAUGUUUAUUUAUCAUAGUGCCUUAAAGUUCAGGUGAUAUGUGAGAACAGAGAGGAUUGAGAAUCAUACAUUUCUUUUUCUCUUUUUUUACAAAGGUGUUAUUUCACAGCCAGCAUUGACCCAGCUGGGAUCCCAGUCUGUGUCCCUGGGUCAGACUGUGACCCUCUCCUGCUCUAAGAAUAAGGGGAGCUGGCAGACCUUUGGCUGGUGUCAACAGAAACCUGGGCAGCCUCCUCGUUUUCUAUGGUAUGGUCCCAGCACCAGGGGAGACGGGGUCCCAGAUAGGUUCACCGCUUCUCCCUCUGAGGAUACCGGCUAUUUAACCAUCUCCAAUGUCCAGGCUGAAGAUGAGGCAGUUUAUCACUGUUUUGCAUGGGAAGGCACCGGUACCCCGAAGU